ensembl:lncRNA
UGGGGGGCGAUGGUGGAAUAUGGGGGAAUAUGGGGGGCUAAGGGGGGGCAUGUGGGACAGCGCUAUGGGGCGGCUCUGUGGGGCGGCGCUAUGGGGCACGAUGUGGGGCAGCGCUAUGGGGUGGCGCUAUGGGGUGGCGCUAUGGGGCGGCGCUAUGGGGCACGGUGUGGGGCAGCGCUAUAGGUUGGCGCUAUGGGGCGGCUCUAUGGGUUGGCACUAUGGGGCGGCUCUAUGGGGCGGCGCUAUAGGUUGGCGCUAUGGGGCGGCUCUAUGGGGCGGCUCUAUGGGGCACGACGUGGGGCAGCGCUACAGGUUGGCACUAUAGGUUGGUGCUAUGGGGCGGCUCCAUGGGGCGGUGCUAUGGGGCGGCUCUAUGGGGCGGCGCUAUGGGGCGGCGCUAUGGGGCACGAUGUGGGGCAGCACUAUAGGUUGGCGCUAUGGGGCGGCACUAUGGGGCAGCUCUAUGGGGCGGCGCUAUGGGGAACGAUGUGGGGCAGUGCUAUAGGUUGGCGCUAUGGGGCGGCUCUAUGGGUUGGCGCUAUGGGGCGGCUCUAUGGGGCGUCUCCAUGGGGCGGCUCUAUGGGGCGGCACUAUGGGGCGGCUCUAUGGGGCGGUGCUAUGGGGCACGAUGUGGGGCAGUGCUAUAGGUUGGUGCUAUGGGGCGGCGCUAUGGGGCGGCUCUAUGGGGCACGACGUGGGGCAGCACUAUAGGUUGGCGCUAUGGGGCGGCACUAUGGGGCAGCUCUAUGGGGCGGCGCUAUGGGGAACGAUGUGGGGCAGCGCUAUAGGUUGGCGCUAUGGGGCGGCUCUAUGGGUUGGCGCUAUGGGGCGGCGCUAUGGGUCGUCUCCAUGGGGCGGCUCCAUGGGGCGGCGCUAUGGGGCGGCUCUAUGGGGCGGCGCUAUGGGGCGG